GCGCGAAAACUUUACAAUGCUGGCAACAGCGAUAAGGGAACCUCGAGUGCCAGGUUACAAAUCUGGCUGUCGAGAUGCCUAAAAAGCAUUUCAUAGCAAGGGCCGGGCAAGACCGGUGCCAGCCGCCGCGGUAACACCGGCGGCUCGAGUGGUAGCCGUUAUUAUUGGGUCUAAAGGGUCUGUAGCCGGCCGGAUAAGUCUCUAGAGAAAUCUGGCAGCUUAACUGUCAGGCUUUCAGGAGAUACUGUCUGGCUCGAGGCCGGGAGAGGUGAGAGGUACUUCAGGGGUAGGGGUGAAAUCUUGUAAUCCUUGAAGGACCACCAGUGGCGAAGGCGUCUCACCAGAACGGACCUGACGGCAAGGGACGAAAGCUAGGGGCACGAACCG
rnacentral:rRNA from 1 species